CCUCUAACACUUCUUCUAACACCCCAGGUUAAUGGGGUUCUGAGGAACCUGUGCUGGAGGACCUGAGUUCCAACAGCUAUUUUUUUGAUAUUUGGUGUCUAUGAUCUCAUUGAAAGCCUCUGUUUGAUUUCAGAUUGUUACGUGUAAAGGGGGAGAUGGAGCAGGGUGAGAAAUGUCUGACUGGACCACCAACAGAUAAAAGCACACAUAUGGGAAGAGGAAGUCCAGAUUUCAUGGCAUGUCAUAAGAAUGAAAAAGGACUUUAUUUGUGUGUGAUGUGUGCUUCCCACAAGACCUGUUACCAGGAGUAAGCUCUUAAUAAAUGGAUUGGAUAAAAGGUGAUAUCUGCUUCGCAAUUUCUUCCAGCCCUACCCCUUGCGUGGUGGUGAGAAAACUAACAGUUUGUAUGUGAACAUCUACUAGGAUUGGAAAAAUGUAAUGGAGUCGAGAAGCAGGAGGCACAGAGAACAAACUGUGAUCAGUUCAGUCCAGAUCAGUAAAUGGGCAACAGUUUAAAAUUGUUGGGUUCAGAGGAAGAUCAUUUCAAAUGGAACCAGAAAUAACUUGAAGUUCAGGAAAGAAACAGGACAUAAAAUGAUCUGAAAUCUGUGCCCAUUUGAAGAGGAAUAUGGACAACUCAAGAGUUCAGUAACUAAAACCAGGAUAGUACUGUGAUUUGGUAACUACACUUCUUAAACACACUGCAGAUAGGUUUGUUUAGAUUACAGGUUGGUGGGAAAUUGAGUAGCAUCUGUGGAUUAGUGGAAGCCCCUUUUUGGGAUGAAGCCAGCAAUAUCAAUAUUUGUGCAUGACAAACUAAUGUCCUCAGAUAUUUCUCCUUCCACACUGUAAAAUAUUUAAUAGAAAAGGUAGCUUUGGGGUCUCACUACUCCUCACUGGCAGACAUGCAUGCACAUUUGAUCUCUGCCCUAUAGCCCCUUUUCCUGUGCUUCUGUUUCUCCCCGUGGGGGGAAUGGCUCUCCCUGAGGUGCAUUCUGGGGAUGCAGGUCAAUCCAGUUGGCCGUUAUUGUCCAAAGGAAGUUGAAAGAGGCCACUACCAGGA
rnacentral:lncRNA from 1 species